rnacentral:rRNA from 1 species
GACAGAGGGUGCAAACGUUGUUCGGAAUUACUGGGCGUAAAGCGCGUGUAGGCGGCCCUGCAAGUCGGAUGUGAAAUCCCUCGGCUCAACCGAGGAACUGCAUCCGAUACUGGCGGGCUUGAAUCCGGGAGAGGGAUGUGGAAUUCCAGGUGUAGCGGUGAAAUGCGUAGAUAUCGGGAGGAACAUCAGUGGCGAAGGCGGCUGCCUGGCCCAAUACUGACACUCAGGUGC